UGACCCUCUCCUGCAUUCCAGGCCUGGGGAUGAAAGUACAGUUUCAAGGCUUCCUUUCCCAGGUAAUGGGGAUGAGAUACAG